rnacentral:rRNA from 1 species
ACAGACAGCCAGGAUGUUGGCUUAGAAGCAGCCAUCAUUUAAAGAAAGCGUAAUAGCUCACUGGUCGAGUCGGCCUGCGCGGAAGAUGUAACGGGGCUAAACCAUGCACCGAAGCUGCGGCAGCGACGCUUAUGCGUUGUUGGGUAGGGGAGCGUUCUGUAAGCCGUCGAAGGUGGCCUGUGAGGGCUGCUGGAGGUAUCAGAAGUGCGAAUGCUGACAUAAGUAACGAUAAAGCGGGUGAAAAACCCGCUCGCCGGAAGAC